rnacentral:ncRNA from 1 species
UGGUCCUAGCCUUGAAAUCAGCUAUUACUCAGCUUACACAUGCAAGUCUCCGCACCCCUGUGAGAACGCCCUUAUAUUCCCCUUAGGAAAAAGGAGCCGGUAUCAGGCGCUAACCACUAAGCCCAAGACACCUAGCUAUGCCACACCCACAAGGGUAGUCAGCAGUGAUUAACAUUGACCAUAAGCGAAAGCUUGACUCAGCCAGGGUAAACAGGGCCGGCAAAUCUGGUGCCAGCCGCCGCGGCCAUACCAGAGGCUCAAACUGAUUUCACUCGGCGUAAAGCGUGAUUAAAGUAACCCUAAACUGCAGUCAAACCAGAACUAGGUCGUGAUAAUCCUGAGCCUGGGAACCCCAAAAACGAAAGUAACUGCAACACAACCCACUUGACCUCACGACAGCUAAGAUACAAACUGGGAUUAGAUACCCCACUAUGCUUAGCCGUAAACUUUAACUUACACCCAAAUCGCCAGGGGACUACGAGCAACGCUUAAAACCCAAAGGACUUGACGGUGCCCCACAUCCACCUAGAGGAGCCUGUCCUGUAAUCGACAACCCCCGCUAAACCUCACCACUCCUUGCUUUACAGCCUGUAUACCUCCGUCGUCAGCUUACCACGUGAGCGACUCCCAGUAAGCGAAAAGGCCUCCACCAAAACGCCAGGUCAAGGUGCAGCUUAUGGAGUGGGAAGAGAUGGGCUACACUCUCUACCUUAGAGGACACGAAUGAUUUAACAUGAAACAUUAUCAGAAGGCGGAUUUAGAAGUAAAGAGGGACAAGAGUGCCCCCUUUAACAUGGCCCUGGGGUGUGUACACACCGCCCGUCACCCUCUUCGAAGCGACAAGAGCAGUAUUUAACAACAUUUAGCUACUAAGAAGAGACAAGUCGUAACAUGGUAAGCUUACCGGAAGGUGUGCUUGGAAA